CUCUUUGCCUAAAAUUAAUACUUCGAUAUGAUCCGGUCGACAUUUGUAAUGAAAUAUCUAUGGUUCUAAAGAUUUUAUAAUUUAUGGGGUUGGUUAAUCUGUAUUGUAUUUGUUUAUUUUUCGUUUUGAAUUGUCAAGUCACGAGUACAUUAGUGGUCUGUAGUUGUUAAGAAAAUGUAUGCGUUAAUAUUUCUGUUUUUCUCAUGUCUUCAUGCUGCGCACGCAGCUAGCAGCUUCGACUUUGGCGACGCAUUUGCGUUGAUUUUAGGAAUUAUUAUUACCAUUGUUGGUUUUCUAGCAUGCGUUGGUUGUUAUGCGAGAAAAAGGCAAGGCCUGGAAUCAUUGUAAUUUACUGAUGCAGUUUGGUGGAGCAAAUGGAGUUCCAGAUGACCGCUGCUUCGAAACGAGGGACUGCCGCAACUUAUUGUGAUAAUGGCUGUUGGACUAAAGUUAUUUUCGAUUGCAUUUAAUGCAACUUGUCAUGAGCUUGUUAACAAAAUGUUAAGCAUUCUAAAAAGGUUAAUAUAGUAUUUUAAGGUAAUUUUGUAUUAUUCCUGUUCAGCAAUGUAACAUGAUAAUGGUGAGUAGUGGUGUGACAACUGACGGGCAUUCUGUGAUAUGUCCCACGUUCGUGUACAGCUUGCAGUGUCAAUCAUUUAUGACAUUCCUGAUCCUUUAUAUUUCACUGGUAUGUAAUUUGAUUUGGGCUGUAUGAAAUGUUUAAGAAAUGAUAUAUUUUGUAAUCUUACACACAAUUAAUAGAUAUGUUUGUAUGCAAAAUUUACAUAUGAUAAAAUAUUUGUGACAAAAUAAUAUGAUUUUUUUAAUAUUGUUAAAAAGUUUCAUCUUAAGUGACCUAACAUAUAAAUAUGUAUGUACAUAUAUACAAAUUCUGUUUUCAUUGGGACCAGAAACUAAAUAAAACAAUAAUUCAGAAAAAA